ensembl:lncRNA
AUGCCUCUUAAAUCCUGUGUCCAGCACUUAGCCUGUAGAACUGGCAUUCUGCUACAGAGCAAGACGCCAGCACCGCCUCACUUCCCUAUAAAGAAGAAAGGGCCCAAAUCCGCAAAGCUGACCCCAAAAGGGGGCCUGGUCCUGGCAGUCAGGCUGGCGAGAGAGCUCGCCCUGCUCUGGAUCACGUCGCAGCCCCGGCGGGUGGGAGGGAAGAAGCAGCGGCGGGCGGCAGGGCCAGGGCGGGGGGCCGGGCCGCGGUGGCCCCUCCGGGCUCUCAUCUGGGCGCCCGCCCCGGGGCCUCACCAGCCGCCCAGCCCCGCUCCCGCCACCCCAGCUCUCAGUCCCGCAGCGACUCGCGCGCCCUUAGAGGAAGUAGGUGGCUUGGCCCCACCGCCGGCAGGGGGAUCGGCCCCUUCCCGCUACCGCGCACCCACGCGGGCUCUUCGGUGCGCCGCCGCCUCCUCCGCGGGUGUGAGCCCGCGGGCCACCCCCAGGCCGCGCCUCCCCAGUCUUGCCAGCCCGCCGGCGGCGACCGUCCCCGCAGAGCCCCGCUCGGGGCGGCGAUCCUGUCCCCGCGCCGCCUCCAGCGUCUCCCCCGCCGGGCCUCCGCAGAGCCGGCUGCAGUCCACGUGGCUCGGCUCUCUCGGUUCGGCUCGCCGGCAGCCCGGAGCCCGGGGAAAGCUGAGCCGAGGCCGGGUGGGAGGGGGGACGGCCGCCCGGGGAGCGCGGGGCCGCGAGGGGCGGGAGCUGGGCGGAGGAAGCGGAGGGCGGCGCGCGAGAGAGGCACCCGCUCGGCUCCGGCGCGCCCCGGCUCUCGGCUCCUGGCCCCGGCUCCUCCCCGGCCAGCCCGCCCGCCUCCCCCUCCCAUUCCACCCGGAGGAAGGUGUUCCCGAGACCGCCCCCCUGCUCACCCCGCCUCUCCGCUCCCCCGGCUCCAGCCUCCGCCGGCGGAGCUCCACUAUGCCAGACAGUUUCGACACUUUGCAAAGACAAAGACCAGAGCGAGGAGGAAGAGGAGGACGAGGAGGAAGAGGAGGCGGAGAGAGAGGAGGCAGGGGCAAUGUGAGCCGGGAACGGGCCGAGUGUUCGGGACACCCCCGUUUUUAUUCUCCUCCGGAUCGCCUCGUCCCGUACCCACCCCCAGCCCCAGAGCCCCGGAAACUUCCGCGUGUCUCCGGCCGCGCUGGUACUGUUUUCAAAUUCAACCUUUCUGAUGUGGAAAUGCCAGUAGAAGUGAUCAGCAUCUCCAGGGGCUGUGGUGAGCAGACACUCUGAGCUUUGUGUCCGGGACAGUCGUCUGAAGAGCAGAGAUGGACACUCCCUCAGCCCACUGAGAUGACAGACAGCCCCCAGUGCCUUCAUCAAGCCAGCUGCUUCCCCACCACAUCUCUGGUUACAGCGUGGGCAAGACCCAGUUCUAAUUAAGAAUUGUCACGCACCAUCCUGUCCAGAGGGCGGUGGCAGAAACAGCUUCCCUCUGUCCCGCACCGCGGCCCUUCCUGUGACGUCUUCACCUUCGAGGGACCCUGGGCUGUCACAAGGAUUAAUUACCCCACCACCCCCUUGGAUGGGAAAGGAAAUCACGGUUAUUAAGUUUUGAUUAAAGCUUCAUCAAGAGACGUUAUCGGCUGUUUGAAGAUUGCUGAUGAAACAGGCCACUCUAUUUCCUGAAAAGACAAACUGCACGCCAGCAGAGCCAACCCACCACGAGUGGUCCACUUAGCCUUUGAGUAUUGCGGGUGAUGUCCAGCACAGCCUGGUGGCUGUCCGCCUGCAGACGUGGCCGUCGGGAAGCUCUAAAACUCCGUGGCUGUCCCUGUCUUGUCCUGCCCUGCGACUGAGCCUCUAUCUCCGGGCUCUUUCUUUGGAGUUCUUCCCCAGUUAGGCCUGGUUUCCUCCAGCCCAUCCCUGCCCCGCCCCCUCAGUAAAGCAGAAAAGGCGACCAUGAGGAAAAGAACUCUCAAAGUGCUCACGCUCCUCCUCCUGUUCAUCUUCCUCACCUCUUUCUUCCUGAACUACUCUCACACCAUGCUGGCCACCACCUGGUUCCCCAAGCAGAUGGUCCAUGAGCUCUCGGAGAACUUCAAGAAGCUCAUGAAGUAUUCCAACAGGCCCUGUACCUGUACUCGCUGCAUCGGGCAGCGCAGGGUCUCCUCCUGGUUCGACGAGCGAUUCAACCGGUCCAUGCAGCCGCUGCUGACGGCCAAGAACGCACUCCUGGAGGAAGACACGUACAACUGGUGGCUGAGGCUCCAGCGGGAGAAGCAGCCUAAUAACCUGAACGACACCAUCAAGGAGCUGUUCCAGGUGGUGCCUGGGGACGUGGACCCCCUGCUGGAGAAGGGCUCGGUGGGCUGCCGGCGCUGCGCCGUCGUGGGCAACUCGGGCAACCUGAGGGAGUCCUGGUACGGGCCUCAGAUAGACAGUCACGACUUUGUGCUCAGGAUGAACAAGGCCCCCACUGCAGGGUUUGAGGCCGACGUCGGGAGGAAGACUACCCACCACCUCGUGUACCCCGAGAGCUUCAGGGAGCUGGCAGAGAACGUCAGCAUGGUCCUGGUCCCCUUCAAGACUGUCGACCUGGAGUGGGUGAUCAGCGCCACCACCAAGGGCACCAUCUCCCAUACCUACGUUCCUGUCCCCGCCAAGAUCAAAGUGAAAAAGAAUAAGAUCCUGAUUUACCACCCGGCCUUCAUCAAGUACGUCUUCGACAGCUGGCUGCAGGGCCACGGGCGGUACCCAUCCACCGGCAUCCUGUCCGUUAUCUUCUCACUGCACGUCUGUGACGAGGUGGACUUGUAUGGCUUCGGGGCGGACAGCAAAGGGAACUGGCACCACUACUGGGAAAACAACCCAUCGGCGGGGGCUUUUCGGAAGACUGGGGUACACGAUGGGGACUUCGAGUCCAACGUGACGGCCACCUUGGCGUCCAUCAACAAAAUCCGGAUCUUCAAGGGAAGAUGACGCUGCGAAGGCCUGAGGACAGGUGCCCCACAUGCGACUCCGCAUCCAGCCCCAGCUUCUCACCGGAGCUGUUCUUCUCCAGGAACUUCCAGGACCAGCCUCAGGGGUGUGCCCAGGUGCCCCUCGCAGCCUCUUGCACCCCAACAUUUGGCAGCAUCUACUCAGCAAGGUCACCGACCCCUGCCAGGGCUGCAGAGCAAGUCUCAGAACCAGUCUCGGGAGGGGAGAACCCCCGCCUCGCUGCUGUUCUGGGCUGGGGGAGGCGGGGAGACUCUGGAGAGGCCCCAUCCUAGGAGUCCCAUGUUCUAGACGAGAGGAUGGUCUCCCGGGGGGAAGCACAGAGACUACGCUGCCGAGGGGUCCGGGGCCAACACUCUGAUUCUUGCUCGGAAGUUUCUGGGUAAAGAUGACCUCCAUGAGAGCCACCCCACCUCCCCUUUCUGCCCAAAGAUCAUUAAACUGUGGCCAUGAGGGGUCCCCGCCCUGAAGGUCUUCAGGACCCUAAAUGCCCAGGAGAUGUCUUCUUCCCAAGCUGACGUUUCCUCGAGUAAUUGAUCUCUGUGGUUACCAUGACAGCUGAGCAUGGGUCUAAGUGCUUCCACGUGCCUUGGUACUGGGGGGAGAAACGCAUGCAUUGACUGAAAUGUGGCAAGAGCCCCAGCUUGGGGAAGGGGACCCCAGCAGUGCACUCCCCUUGGUCUGUAGCUGGGGAGAGUGUUCUAGUUUCCGGAGCCAGAGUCUGAGCUGCAAGAAAGCUCAGUUGGAACUAGGCUCCAUCCAGAGGCCCGUCAGCCGUGGACCAUACAUUCUCAUUUUCACAGACUAUUGGAUUUGGUGCCCGUAACCUUCCAGAGCUUUGUGGUGGAGAGGGGGCAUCAGCCAGCGGUUGCCACCAGGGUCAGAUCCCCCCUGGCCACCUGUGUGAGGACAUCCUAGAAACGUGACUGUCAGAGGGGAGAAGUCAUACCUCAUCCUUCACGUCCCAGCUGCUCUUUCUUCCUCGUCAGCCUUCCUGAUUAUUUAUUGUUUUGUCUUUUAAAUUCAACUGACAUCGUCUGCACUUUGUGGCUCGGUUACGCUCGCUUCGGCAGGCAGCUGCCGUGUGGGCACUCAGAGCCAGUUUUGUAGAAAUCUUCAGAUGUGGGGUACUGGGGUGUUUAGGGCUUGAGGGCUUGCUGGUGGGCAGACCCUGGAAUGUCGGGUUGAUAGGUUUGCCGGAUGCUAUGUAUCUCCUUCUGUUCCAGCCCCACUUUCUUCUUCCUCACUGUGGGCUUAGAUUCAGUCUCAGCUAAGAAUCUCCAAAUCAAGCGGCACUGUCUUGGGGCUGGGUGGGAAUAGACUCAUAGUUCCAGGUGGCACUUGUGGUAAAGAACCCUCCUGCAAAUGAAGGAGACGUAAGAGAUGCGGAUUUGAUCCCUGGGUUGGAAAGAUUCCCCUGGAGGAGGAAAUGGCAACCCACUCCAGUCUUCUUGCCUAGAGAAUCCCCAUGGACAGAGGAGCCUGGUGGGCUACAGUCCAUAGGGUCACAAAGAGUCGGACAUGACUGAGCGACUUAGCAUGCACGUACUGACAUUUAAUCAAAAAAAGAGAAAUUUCUUGCUGUCGCGGGCAUUCCCUGAAGGGCCACGGGUGCCUUGAGAAGGUGUGACCGUGGCCUGGAGGAGGAUGAAGGAUGCUACUCUCAGAGGCCAGGGGGUCCCGCCCCACCUCGCCCUGCAGCCCUCUGGCAAGCCCUGCCCCCCGCCUCCGUGUCUCCCUCUGCCAAUGGGGAGUGUCCACAGUGGGUAUAGGUCAUUUACAAGUGUCCCUAGAAGUCACACACCCUGCUGGUUCUUCCCCUGAGUGUUUGCCUGGGGAGAGGGUCCAGUUUUUCUUUGAUUCUCUAAGGUUCAGAAUCCAGAAAGUGGUUUUUUUGUUUUUGUUUUUUUUUAAAAAAAAAAGCAAGCAAAUGAAAAAAACUGUUCGAGCAUUAAAAUCCUCCAAAACCAAAGACCCUCUUGACUGACAAAUGCUUGUCAAUUGCUGUGAGGUCAUGAUUCCCAGCAUAAAUCCUCAGAGGCUAGAGGUCACGGCAGUCCUUGGCGUGAGGAACUCUGCCGGGUGUGUGGCUGACUCACUGCCACCUGGUCUCCACCCUGUCUCUCCCCGCCACCAGGCUGUUCAUCGUGACAGGCCUUUCAGUCCUUGGGUCCCCAUUUGCAGAUGAGCAAAGCAAGGCCAGAGAAGGGAAGUGACUGCACAAGUGAACCAGCUGUGAAAUAGAUUUCGAGCUAAAAGAGGAUGUUAUUGGGUCCCUAUUAGACCACCUAGAGGUGGGCUGCCCCAGCCCCUCCGAGAACUGUAGUCGGUGUAAGCUUCUGACUACAAGCCUCUCACCACCCGGCUUCUUUCUCAGGCCACCACGGGGGCCCGAGGCAAGCUGUGACCUCUGCCUUCUCACGCUCUUCUUCCAGUGGAGGAGAUAGCAUCACAUUUUUCCCACAGCUGGGGCAGACACGGCUUUGUGUCUGUUCCUGGGCUUACCAAUGGCCACCUAAGCGAAUCCAGCCAGCCACUGUGGCCAGGAUUAACACACCAUUGCCUUAAACCAGCGGGGCCCAUACCUGGGGUAAGGGUGGCCGAGACCUGGACAAGACUGUUUGCACGGGGGUUUGGCCACCAGCCAGAGGGUGAGAAGCACCCACAAGAGGAGGCUGUCCCUGGGGCCCAGCAUACCAGCCCAGGGCUCUGCCCAUUCCGCAGACAGAGCUCCUUGGAGACUAGCCCCAGGCAAGCGUUAGAGGCAUUCCUGUUGCAGCAGUCAGUGCUGAGCCUGAAGCUAAAGAGGCCAGGCUAAUGAGGGAGAAAGAUGUCAGCAACACCCUAGCCUUCUGGCUCCCCCAGGGAACCAGGAAGCUGCUCUCUGGUGCUGGAGCAAAAUCUACACCUGUAGCCAUAUCCCCUGGAGCCCCUGGCCUCACCCAUGGGAAGGAGAAGAAAGGAGGGCGGGAGGGUAGUGAUCUGGGGCAGAGAAGAAAGUUCUUAAGCAGAUGCGUUUGGAAACCCCAGCUUCAUCAGGUAUUGUCCAGAAAAUCACCUAGACUGGAUUAGUGGGAGAAGCCAGAUAUAAGGAAAUAGGACAUAAAAGGGAGAAGCCAGGCAACGAGGGGUGGUCAGGUGAUUCCUAUAGUGGGUGGGAGAGGGGGGCAGGUUCAGGGGAGACCACCCCCCCCAAGGCUCGGCUGUGGCCAGAAGGGCCAGGGAAAGGGGACAAAGCUACCUCGAUGCAAACUGGGCCUCUGGGUCCAGGCAGAAUGGAGUUUCAGAGAGCGCUGAGCACUGUGAUGUUUGCUUCAGCUGUUUCCUUCAAGGCAGCCUGAACCCAAAGAAAAAGUGGAAGACAAAACAGCUCGCCCUCCCUCACGUGCUUGUGGUCGGAAGUGCUCUCUCCAGGGAAGCCAGAGUUGGCUGGACUCCGGCCACGUGCCAUCAGGACAGGCAACUGUUCUCACCCCUCCAAAGAGCUGGGGGCUGUCACUGCAUCCAUCAGGGACAUCUGGUUUGUGGCAGGGUUGGCCACAGGCCAUCGGCUGGCCAUCCUCUUGUGGGGUCUGGGCUAAUGUGUUUGGAGCCCCCUGGGGGGCCGUGGCGGAGGUACAUGACACCUGUGCAUAGAAGAGGGUGAGGAACAGCUACCAGGUGAGGUGGCAUCACACAGUCCUCCCCCAAAGCAACACAUUUCCUCCAAGCCUGCCUCCAGCCCCCUGUUUCCCUCCCAGUCCAUCAGAGAUCUGUACUUAUGUUGAACUUGACCCUGUUGCUCAGCUUCCAAUCUGCCAUCGUCGCCCACCCACCCAAGAUCCUGGUCCAGACACCAGCUUUAACCUGGGUCUAUGUCAGGAGUCCCCACUGGGCCCCAGUAGCAUGGACGUGGUGCACCGUCGUGCUAACACUUAACCCAGUUCGUGUCAAAGCCAAAGUUCCCCGAGCACUUUUCCCCUCUUUGCAGUCCUGUUGGUGGGUUGGUUGGUGUUGUUUUAAAGUCUGCUUUCUUUGUCUGCCCCUCCUUGCCUGGCUCUCGUGUUUUGCAGCUGAGUGUUCAUCUGGAUGCUUUUUUGAAUGAAGUUGGCAAGAGUCUGCUUUCCACAGCCUCUGCUCUAUUUUUUAUUUUUAAUUUAUUGUUGAAUAUUUCCAAUGAUCCAAAUCAAAAUGAAUAAAAGAGAGCUAUUUUAUCGUU